rnacentral:lncRNA from 1 species
AGUAAAAUUGCACACAAACUGAUGAGAAAGAAAAGACUCGUACAUUUUUUUUUACUUCUCAAUUCAACUACAUAAAACAAGACGACCUAGUGCCAUUUUAUAGGCUUACAACUUAACAACUAAACCUAAAAUAUAGGAACUAAAGAUAGUGGUGAAGUAGGAGUAAAACACUGCUAAGAACGUGCCCACUAAUUCUGUAAAACAGUAAAUAGAAAAAAUACAGAAAUUGACUUAGUAAAACUUACUUCCACUUAAUACUAAAAAACAGGACCAUAACAAGACUUGCACAUUAUUGAAGAAUUAGUCAACACCCCCCCUUUCUUCAAAAUCACAUACUCCCAUUUGUAGCUUGAAGAAGUCAUGCUUGUUGCGCGGAAGCGAUUUAGUAAGAACAUCAGCAACCUGAUCAUUUGUGCCACAAAAUUUCAAUGAG